AUGGUUGAUGAAGAAGAUGUAGAGGCGGAAGAGGGAAAGAGGCAGAGAGAGCUAGAAGUACAAGAGGAAGAAUCAGAUGAUGAUCAAUCAGAAGAGGAAGAAAUGCUGCAUUAUGAGGGUGACACUGAAGUUGAGGACCCAUUUGAGGUAGAGGAAGAUAGGACUUUUGAACAAGAAGAAGAAACUAUAGUUGAACCUGUAAAGAAGAAGCAGAAGCUGCCAGUUAGAAGAGGCCCAACCACUAGGUCACAUUGUAGUGAGCUACCAGAGGUUGAACCUGAUUUCAGACCAUCAUCAGAUGAAGAAGAGGAGGGGUUGUUGAGGGAGAGUGAUGAUGAUGGUUUUCAGCCACUCUCUUUUGUCCUACAAAAGAAAAGGAAGAGUAGGGCAAAGAAAAGGCCUCCUAGGAAGUGGUACAAUGAGAAAAUGGAGCAACCACAUGAGCAACUAUGUAUGAAGUUGUGUUUUAGGGAUCAGCAUCAAUUCAGAGAAGCUUUGUUGAAUUUGCACGUCACCCAGGCCAGGAAUUUCAGGUAUCACAGGAAUUCAGAUCAGAGGAUAAUUGUUGAGUGUACAGAUAAAAAAUGCCAGUUCUCAAUGGUGGCAGCAGUUAUAAAAGGGGAGAAAACAUUUGUAAUUAAGAAGAUGAGACUAGAGCACACUUGCCCUAGUACCACUGAGACCACCAGGGUUAGUGCUAAGUGGCUAGCACAGAAAUAUGAUCAUCUCUUUAGAUCUGAUAUAACUACUGGUAUUCAGACUAUAAUUGAUGCAUGCAAUGAAAAAUAUGGUGUAGAUGUGCCCAAGUGCAUGGCAUAUAGGGCAAAGAACAUAGCUAUUGAUGCUGUGUUAGGAGAUCACAGGAAGCAAUAUCCUAGGCUUAAAGACUAUGCUCAGACUGUCAUGGACACAAACCCUGGGAGUAGAGUAAUAGUCACUACUGUUACUCCAGUACCUAAUGCAAAAAUACCCCACCCAGGCCCAAGAUUCCAUGCCAUGUUUUUUUGCCUUAAUGGAGCAAGGGAGGGGUUUCUCAAUGGGUGUAGGCCUUUCAUUGGUUAG
rnacentral:rRNA from 1 species